CCCUUAGACGUUCUGGGCCGCACGCGCGCUACACUGACGGGGCCAGCGAGUAUAAACCUUGGCCGAGAGGUCUGGGAAAUCUUGUGAAACUCCGUCGUGCUGGGGAUAGAGCAUUGUAAUUAUUGCUCUUCAACGAGGAAUUCCUAGUAAGCGCAAGUCAUCAGCUUGCGUUGAUUACGUCCCUGCCCUUUGUACACACCGCCCGUCGCUACUACCGAUUGAAUGGCUUAGUGAGGCUUCCGGAUUGGUUUAGAGAAGGGGGCAACUCCAUCUUGGAACCGAGAAGCUAGUCAAACUUGGUCAUUUAGAGGAAGUAAAAGUCGUAACA
rnacentral:rRNA from 1 species